UACGGGGGGGGCAAGCGUUGUUCGGAAUUACUGGGCGUAAAGGGCUCGUAGGUGGCCAACUAAGUCAGACGUGAAAUCCCUCGGCUUAACCGGGGAACUGCGUCUGAUACUGGAUGGCUUGAGAUUGGGAGAGGGACGCGGAAUUCCAGGUGUAGCGGUGAAAUGCGCAGAUAUCAGGAGGAACACCGGUGGCGAAGGCGGAUCUCUGGGCCAUUACUGACGCUGAGGAGCGAAAGCGUGGGGAGCGAACAGG
rnacentral:rRNA from 1 species